rnacentral:lncRNA from 1 species
CUGUUCUACAGCUAUGGCCGGGCCAGCUGCAGCUUUCCGCCGCUUGGGCGCCUUGUCCGGAGCUGCGGCCUUAGGCUUCGCUUCCUACGGGGCGCACGGCGCCCAAUUCCCAGAUGCCUACGGGAAGGAGCUGUUUGACAAGGCCAACAAACACCACUUCUUACACAGCCUGGCCCUGUUAGGGGUGCCCCAUUGCAGAAAGCCACUCUGGGCGGCCUGAGCACGCUCACUGACACCGUUUGGCGGCCUGUCACCCGCGUGGCUGGGGCACCUGCAGAAACUGCUGUCGCUGCGAGGUGCCCGUGUGGGUCACCGCUGUGCCAGGGAGAGAAGACGGCGAGGUCGCCCCUGGGAGGCAGAAGGCGAGCCAGGAGCCAGUCCUGGAAGCCAAUGAUCAGAGGCGCCGCCCAAGAGACCCUGGGCCGGCGCCGGGCGCAGCUGCCUCUCCGUCUUUGUGUCUGUCUCUGUGUCUGUCUGGCUAUCUCCGAGUUUGCCUCCGCUUCCAGAACUAAGCCACCCAGACACCAUCAUCUCGAAAACCCCAGCCCUUCUCCCAUGGCAG